rnacentral:lncRNA from 1 species
GGAGAACAAACAGCUUGCCUCAGAUGUCAGCAGGAGCAUAGACCAUGGACAUCCACAAGAUUUCUGGCAUCAGCCACAUGCCACAGACCUCAACAUGGUCUCUGGUGGUAAUACAGACUAUGGACAUCAAAACAGCCCUCUGCCACAGCUCUGCUCAUGGACAUCAACAUGGCUUCAGGCAGCAGCACAAACCGUGGACAUCCAAAUGGCAUUCCGUGGUAACAUGGACCACAGACAACAACAUGGUCCCCGGCUGCAGUAGGACCAUGGACCAUUGUCCUCAGCAGCAGCACAGUAAGUUCCACCAACUGAGGAUCAAGUAUUCAAACACUGAGCCUUUUGGAGCCAUUCUCAUUCAAAU